rnacentral:rRNA from 1 species
UACAGAGGUCUCAAGCGUUGUUCGGAUUCAUUGGGCGUACAGGGUGUGUAGGUGGCGCCGUAAGUCGGGUGUGAAAUUUCGGAGCUUAACUCCGAAACUGCAUUCGAUACUGCGGUGCUUGAGGACUGGAGAGGAGACUGGAAUUCAUGGUGUAGCAGUGAAAUGCGUAGAGAUCAUGAGGAAGACCAGGGGCGAAGGCGGGUCUCUGGACAGUUCCUGACACUGAGACACGAAGGCCAGGGGAGCAAACGGG